CUAUCAUUGAAGUCAACAUCUAAGUAACUGCCAUUUAAACCCUUAUUUCUUGCUGUGGGAGAGGGGAAGAUACAGUAUCUAUUUCUUGUUUUUAAUUUGCAAAAAGGACUUAGCCAGUGAAAAUUUAUGUAAAAUCAGACCAAAAGAGUUGGACUGUGUAUUGCCAUGAAAUUAAGUGACAAGUAGUAAACUAUUCUAGAAUAAUUAAGCCCAUGUAUAUUUGUUUUGAAUUGAAAGUCUUGAACUAUGUGAUGCCUGAAUGUACAAACUUUGCAAAUUGUCAGAGUACAGAUCGCUCGCUGUGACAGGUCCUCCUGCCUCGUGCGCUAGUUGCGACAGCCUCACUGCUUUGCGGAGGGACUGACGGGAGUUGAAGGACAGUUUUUAUUCCAGCUCUUAAGAUGAGGCAACUUUCAACCUUUAGAAACCCUUUGUGAAAAUUCUGGUUACAGCACUGUAGUCUGGUUGUAGGAUGACUAAAUGUUAUGUUCAGUGUUGGCCUACCUUAUUAGAAUAAACUGUGCCAUGAAUCCUCUCACAGACAUGCAAGGUAGAUAGCAGUCAACAGAAUUUAGGGGACGAUUUUGUGUCUCCAAAUAAUAUGGCUUAAAUUUCCUCCAGCUAAUUUUUCAGUGAUUUUAGCAGAUGUCAUCUAAUAUAUUCAUGAUCUUGUUUCUUUCUUUAGAGAUCUUGCCAUGGCAACAACUUGUUAAAUAAAUGUAAUUACACAUGCACAACACAAAAGACUUAGUGGGUUUACAUUUAGCGGUCAGUUGUAUUAGAUUUCAUAGUAAAUGGAAUAGGAAGUAUUUGUUUUCCUGUAGUAGUUCAGUGGAUUCCAUUGGAACCAGUUUACUGCCAGAAUUCAGAUAGAGUAGAUCUGGUUUCACCUUGUGAUGGUGUUGGCUCCAGGAUAUUUUUGUCUUUCAGUGUCCUAGAACACGCGUCUUCCCUUCAGUAACUGUGCUCUCACGUACCUCUAAUCCUGUGCUUCCUGGAAACGGUAACAUGCCAGCCAGAUUGUUUACUAAGGAGUGUUCAGAGGGCCUGGCGGUGCGGGCGUGGACGGCCAAAGCUUCAUGCUCGCCAACAUAAGGGAAAAGCAGACAGGCACCAGGUCUGAUUAGGCGGGAUUUCUUAAGCAACCCUUUGAAUGGUAAUUGUCCUUUCUGCCUUGUCACACAUGCCACUGUGCCCUUUAAAGUUUAACAUGGCAACCUCAGGUUUGUGGACAGCAAAGGCAGAGUGACAUCUUGUGCUUCCUGAGGCUCCCGUCUGCCCAGCACACUAGCUUAGUGCUAAAGAUGUCAGCCCAAGUCCCUGCUGCCUCCUCUCCUGCCCGGGAGGAGGGCUGGUGCUGGGCGGGGCCCGCACUCCUCAGGUGACCGAGCACGCGCAGCAGUGGAUGGUGGGCCGACCUGCAAGCUCUGCACUUCAAGGACUCACCCUGGGCUCAGAGAGUGACGCAGCUCUUCGUCAACUAGUCUCUUCUGUUUGUUCGAAAGGAAAUGUGGAUCUCUCUGAGGCCAGGAUUUAGUGGCUAUUUUCACUAGACGGCAGGUUAAUACCUAGCUCUCAUUUUUAAAAAAGAAUAAAGGGAACUGAUUAGGUUUGCUGGGUCUUUUAAUCUAAUUCCAAAGCAAGGCAGAAUGCUCGAGGUAGGAAUAAUGGGAAUCCAAGGUAAAGAACCCUUUUUCUUAUGAUUUGUAGCUACCUACUGUGCCUGACUUGGUGCC
ensembl:lncRNA